GUCGGUGUAGUAUAGUGGUUAGUACUUCUCGUUGUGGUCACACAUCUCCGAGAGGACCCAUGUUCGAUUCAUGGCACCGACA